GGCUCCCGGUAGGGCGCCUCAGCGUCCCCCGGGGCCCCGACGGAGGUGCCGGAGAUCUGCCGGCUACAGACCCGGGCAGGUGGGGCUCGUUAGCCGUGGUAGGCAGUCUGCCUAGGAGAGCAAACUCCGAACAACAAACCCGGACAGGUGGAGGUCGUUAGCCGUGGUAGGCAAUACACCUAGGAGAGCAAACUCCGAACAACAAACCCGGACAGGUGGAGGUCGUUAGCCGUGGUAGGCAAUCUGCCUAGGAGAGCAAACUCCGAACAAUAAACCCGGACAGGUGGAGGUCGUUAGCCGUGGUAGGCAAUCUACCUAGGAGAGCAAACUCCGAACAACAAACCCGGACAGGUGGAGGUCGUUAGCCGUGGUAGGCAAUCUGCCUAGGAGAGCAAACUCCGAACAACAAACCCGGACAGGUGGAGGUCGUUAGCCGUGGUAGGCAAUCUACCUAGGAGAGCAAACUCCGAACAACAAACCCGGACAGGUGGAGGUCGUUAGCCGUGGUAGGCAAUCUACCUAGGAGAGCAAACUCCGAACAACAAACCCGGACAGGUGGAGGUCGUUAGCCGUGGUAGGCAGUCUGCCUAGGAGAGCAAACUCCGAACAAUAAACCCGGACAGGUGGAGGUCGUUAGCCGUGGUAGGCAAUCUGCCUAGGAGAGCAAACUCCGAACAACAAACCCGGGCAGGUGGAGGUCGUUAGCCGUGGAAGGCAGUCUACCUAGGAGAGCAAACUCCGAACAACAAACCCGGACAGGUGGAGGUCGUUAGCCGUGGAAGGCAGUCCACCUAGGAGAGCAAACUCCGAACAACAAACCCGGACAGGUGGAGGUCGUUAGCCGUGGAAGGCAGUCCACCUAGGAGAGCAAACUCCGAACAACAAACCCGGACAGGUGGAGGUCGUUAGCCGUGGAAGGCAGUCUGCCUAGGAGAGCAAACUCCGAACAACAAACCCGGACAGGUGGAGGUCGUUAGCCGUGGAAGGCAGUCUACCUAGGAGAGCAAACUCCGAACAACAAACCCGGACAGGUGGAGGUCGUUAGCCGUGGAAGGCAGUCUGCCUAGGAGAGCAAACUCCGAACAACAAACCCGGACAGGUGGAGGUCGUUAGCCGUGGAAGGCAGUCUGCCUAGGAGAGCAAACUCCGAACAACAAACCCGGACAGGUGGAGGUCGUUAGCCGUGGAAGGCAGUCUGCCUAGGAGAGCAAACUCCGAACAACAAACCCGGACAGGUGGAGGUCGUUAGCCGUGGAAGGCAGUCUGCCUAGGAGAGCAAACUCCGAACAACAAACCGGGUCUUGUGGUGCUCGUUAGAUGUCGUAGACAAUCCACGUGAUGGGAACACCAAAGAAAAGAAAAGAAAAAAGAACACCAGAAAAAGAUAAUUAUAAAAACGAACAUCAAGAGAAGAAAAAACACAGAACAUCCACCUUUAGGCCCUAACAUCGCCAAAAUUAAGGGUGAGUCUUUUCUGGGGAGAAAGAGGCUCAUCCAGACCAAAGAACAUCAAAAAGGGAUGAUAUACAUAGAA